UACAGAGGUCUCAAGCGUUGUUCGGAUUCAUUGGGCGUAAAGGGUGCGUAGGCGGCGCGGGUAAGUCGGGUGUGAAAUCUUGGAGCUUAACUCCGAAACUGCAUUCGAUACUGCCGUGCUUGAGGACUGGAGAGGAGACUGGAAUUUACGGUGUAGCGGUGAAAUGCGUAGAUAUCGUAAGGAAGACCAGUGGCGAAGGCGGGUCUCUGGACAGUUCCUGACGCUGAGGCACGAAGGCCAGGGGAGCAAACGGG
rnacentral:rRNA from 1 species